rnacentral:tmRNA from 35 species
GGGGCUGAUUCUGGAUUCGACGGGAUUCGCGAAACCCAAGGUGCAUGCCGAGGUGCGGUGGCCUCGUAAAAAACCGCAAAAAAAAUAGUUGCAAACGACGAAAACUACGCACUAGCAGCUUAAUAACCUGCUUAGAGCCCUCUCUCCCUAGCCUCCGCUCUUAGGACGGGGAUCAAGAGAGGUCAAACCUAAAAGAGCUCGUGUGGAAACCUUGCCUGGGGUGGAAGCAUUAAAACUAAUCAGGAUAGUUUGUCAGUAGCGUGUCCAUCCGCAGCUGGCCGGCGAAUGUAAUGAUUGGACUAAGCAUGUAGUGCCGACGGUGUAGUAAUUUCGGACGGGGGUUCAAAUCCCCCCAGCUCCACCA